UCUGAGGUCACUUGGAUGGCAUGGACCAAGAAACAGGAGGCAGGAAAAGUGAAUCCAAGUGUUUAUGGAGAUCAGGAAUGCAGCUUGAUGAAGCUCUGACAGAGCAGAGGGAGGUUCUGGGCAGUACAGGGGUCUCUGUCUUCUUGCUUGUACUCCCCAAGCAUUCUCCUGCCAGCCAACAUGGGCACUAGUGAAUCAGUCACCAAUAGAAUGGGACCAAAGACAGCCAUCAGCAAGUCAAGCCAACUACCAUAAUGGGGUGCCAGAGGUGAGGCAGGGGCACUAGGUGGAUCUAGACCC
rnacentral:lncRNA from 1 species